rnacentral:sRNA from 1 species
GCCAGUGUGGUGGCACACACCUGUAAUCCCAGUGGCUUGGGAGGCUGAGGCAGGAGGAUCAUGAGUUCAAAGCCAGCCUCAGCAACAGCAAGGUACUAAGCAACUCAGUGAGAUCCUGUCUCUA